AAAGAGGAAAUUCAUUCGCGUUUCGGCUGUCGAAGUUGGGUGUUUGUAUGACGAAUAACGUUUCUGCGUCGUUCGCUUCUUAUAUCCUACGAGUCGAUGUCGAACGCGUGCACUUUUCCUCUAGUAGGACGUCGCGAUCCGUUGGGUGUCUGUCUAAGACUUGAGAUGGAGCCCGCGUAAUUUUAUUACGCGGACACUCGAUGUUCCGACAGACUCGCUCGACGGUAUACUAAUGGCGCGAGGCCGCUACUUCAGUUAGCGUUCGGCCCGUAGCAAGCGCGUUCUGUGUUUGACGGCGAUCGGACCUAGUCUCGAUUCUGUCCCAGAACGACUGUUGGUUGCGGUGUUCUCGAACAGACCUCGAAAUGAAACGCCGAUCAGCGACGCUCUAGAUUUGGGUACUUUCAGGACCCGUCUUGAAACACGGACCAAGGAGUCUAGCAUGUGCGCGAGUCAUUGGGAUAUCACUAAACCUAAAGGCGUAAUGAAAGUAAAGGUUAACCUUGCGUUGACCGAGGGAGGAUGGGCGGUUUGCCCUUAAAAGUAACUGCUUCGCACUCCCGGGGCGUCUCAUUCUCAUUGCGAGAAGAGGCGCAUCAAGAGCGCACACG
rnacentral:rRNA from 1 species